rnacentral:rRNA from 1 species
CGUAGGUGGCAAGCGUUGUCCGGAAUUACUGGGCGUAAAGCGUGCGCAGGCGGUUUAGUAAGACAGGCGUGAAAUCCCCGGGCUCAACCUGGGAACUGCGCUUGUGACUGCUAAGCUAGAGUACGGCAGAGGGGGUGGAAUUCCACGUGUAGCAGUGAAAUGCGUAGAGAUGUGGAGGAACACCAAUGGCGAAGGCAGCCCCCUGGGUCGAUACUGACGCUCAUGCACGAAAGCGUGGGUAGCAAACAGGAUUAGAUACCCUGGUAGUCCACGCCCUAAACGAUGUCAACUAGGUGUUGGGAGGGUAAAACCUUUUAGUGCCGGAGCUAACGCGUGAAGUUGACCGCCUGGGGAGUACGGCCGCAAGGUUA